rnacentral:misc_RNA from 1 species
GUGAAUUUAGAGCGUAACUUCGGUUAGCUCAACCUUCAUUUUCCAACUCUGUGCACUAUUGGCGGACUGAGAGUAAGUAAUUACUAUUCAGUCUGCGGCUCACUAUUAAACAUUAGUUAAAGUAUGUAUACAAAAAACAAAACAAAAA